rnacentral:rRNA from 1 species
UACAGAGGUCUCAAGCGUUAUUCGGAAUUAUUGGGCGUAAAGGGCGCGUAGGCGGCUUGGCAAGUGGAUGGUGAAAUCCCUCGGCUUAACCGAGGAACGGCCGUCCAAAACUGCUUCGCUUGAGACCGGGAGAGGUGAGUGGAAUUCCCAGUGUAGCGGUGAAAUGCGUAGAUAUUGGGAGGAACACCAGUGGCGAAGGCGGCUCACUGGACCGGUACUGACGCUGAAGCGCGAAAGCGUGGGGAGCAAACGGGG